UGCGCAGGCGGCUUGAUAAGACAGGCGUGAAAUCCCCGGGCUUAACCUGGGAACUGCGCUUGUGACUGUCAGGCUGGAGUCUGUCAGAGGGGGUGGAAUUCCACGUGUAGCAGUGAAAUGCGUAGAGAUGUGGAGGAACACCGAUGGCGAAGGCAGCCCCCUGGGAUAAGACUGACGCUCAUGCACGAAAGCGUGGGGAGCAAACAGGAUUAGAUACCCUGGUAGUCCACGCCCUAAACGAUGUCGACUAGUUGUCGGGGAUUAACUUCCUCGGUAACGCAGCUAACGCGUGAAGUCGACCGCCUGGGGAGUACGGUCGCAAGAUUAAAA
rnacentral:rRNA from 1 species